GAUGAAGAACGCAGCGAAAUGCGAUAAGUAAUGUGAAUUGCAGAAUUCAGUGAAUCAUCGAGUCUUUGAACGCACAUUGCGCCCCCUGGUAUUCCAGGGGGCAUGCCUGUCCGAGCGUCAUUGCUGCCCUCAAGCACGGCUUGUGUGUUGGGCCCCCGUCCCCGGUUCUCCCCGGGGACGGGCCCGAAAGGCAGCGGCGGCACCGCGUCCGAUCCUCGAGCGUAUGGGGCUUUGUCACCCGCUCUGUAGGCCCGGCCGGCGCCAGCCGACACCCCAACUUUAUUUUCUAAGGUUGACCUCGGAUCAGGUAGGGAUACCCGCUGAACUUAAGCAUAUCAAUAAGCGGAGGA
rnacentral:misc_RNA from 1 species